UUUACAGACAACUACUUUGACAACUAAAACUGAUGGCAAUGAUGGCAAGACUGAACACCUAGAGUAUAUUGCCUUUGCUUUGGUUCCUGUUUUCUUCAUCAUGGGCCUUUUGGGGAUCCUUAUCUGCCAUGUCCUUAAGAAAAAAGGUUAUCGUUGUACAACGGAGGCUGAAGAAGUAGAAGAAGAAAAACUUGAUGAAAAAAUAGAAAUGAAUGAAACUAUACAUGAGAAUAGUGACACUGUGGGACAAAUAGUUAACUACAUCAUGAAAAAUGAAGCAAAUGCUGAUGUGUUAAAGGCCAUGGUAGCAGAUAGCAGUGUCUUUGAACCUGAAAGCCCUUUAUCUCCUACCUCUCCUGAGAGUCCAAUGAGUCCAGGGACUCCUUUGUCACCCGGUGCUGUUCCGUUCAAGCACAACUGCAAAGCCCAUCACUUCCAUACUGUUGGAGGAGUGGUAGAAAAGGAUGUUUGUACUCGUUGUAGUCACAAACGAUGGCAUCUUAUAAAGCCAGCUCACAAAUCUAAAGAGAACAGAAGAAGUCGUAUUGGAGAAGUUACAGUCCUUUCUGUGGGAAGAUUUCGAGUCACAAAAGUGGAGCACAAAUCAAAUUCCAAAGAACGGAAGAGCUUGAUGUCUGUUACUGGCGUGGAGAGUGUCAAUGGUGACAUGCCUGCCACGCCUGUGAAACAAGAAGUGAGCGAAGCACCUGCCACGCCAGUGAAACAGGAAAUGCAGGAGAGGAGAAGCUCAGAGAGGAGAAGCUCAGAGUAAACUGCAGGUGGAACUUUUAGAAGAAGCUUGUCUGUGAGCACUUUGGAGAAAACUGAAAACUCCCAGGAGAUGCAUACUAUUUAAGGAAAUGUAUUUAUGGCUCCUGCAGCAUUUUACAGGUUCUGUGAUGGCAUUCAUGCAAGGUUGAACACUUAAUGGGUUUUGACCAGUAAAAUCAGUAAGAUUUAGACACUUAAAUACUGUUGAGCUGUGUGGACAUCAUACCAAGUGGCUUCAUCUUGGAAAGAAAGCAGUUUUUGGACAGGAAAGGUUCCUUAUUAAGCUAAGGCAGCAUAUUUCAACCCUUAGAUAAGGAUAUGGAAUAUUUGGCGUGAAAAAAUUUAUGGCAUAUAUACUAAAUUGCUUCAGAGUGGCUUUGUUGGACUGAGGGUAGCUGUUUUCAUUGGCACCAAAAACUUAAGCCAGUGUCACUCCCUUCAUAUUUUAAGUGUGACUUACUGCUAAAAAUACCAUGGUAUUUUGAUGUUAAUUAUUUGUAUCUACUUAUGAUCUCUGCUUUGUCCUAUUACUUGUUUUGGGGAGACAAAUCUCUGUAAUACUUAGCAAACUUUUCUAUGUAAUAGAAACUGAAAAAUAACAUUUGUUCUGAGUGCCUAAGAAUGUAAGCUCUAAUGUAAUGCAUUUUAGUAGAGAUUGCACUAUAUUCUGAGAACUGUAACUUAAUCUGCUUUAUGAACUCAAUGAAAAUCAGCGUAUGUUUUUGAAAUUGAUUUAUUUUAAAUACCUUCAAUCUUUUUAAUCCAAGUGCUCUAAACUGUUUCUCCUUCAUAUCUGAGAAUUGUGUUCUUCAUCAAUUCAUACAGUGUUAACAGUCAGUGUGUACAAAAUUAAUCUUGCUUGUGUAUUAGAUUCUCUUGUGUCUUCUCAGGAAACAUUAAGUUUUUUCACUCUUGGUGAAAGCAUAUGCUGCUGAUGGUCUUCCUUUUACUUGUAUCCCCAAGAUAUUGAUUGGGCCUAUUCAACGAUGCUAUAUUUGCCAAAAACCCACACCACUGCCCACCAAAACUUUGAAAAUAAUGUGUGUUUGUUUGUGUGUUUUGGUUUUGGUUUUUUUUUUUUUAAUUGAUGUUUUUAGAGAUAAUCGUCUGUCCUUGAGAACCCAAAAUAAUUGUUUGGCUAGGACCAGAACCCGAGUGUUCAGCAUCCCUGCUCCCCUUAAUUUAAACUUGGCUUAUGAAAUCUCUUCAGUAUUUAAGUACAACAUAAACACCAAGCUCACCUUAUAGGCAUACGUUAAACUUCACUUGAUUAUUAGUGUGAAGAACUAAUAUUUCUAGAAGAUGUAAUUAGUAUUGAUUAUAGUAGUUAGUUUUCAGUUUCCAAGAGAUUGAUAGCUAUGAGUAUAAAAUGUUGCUGGGAAAAGGGAAUAUUGGGCAAAACCAAGCAGUUUCAAAUAAUUUUCAGAAAGGAUUUACACAAUUACAGACUGUUCCAAAAACUUUUUUAAAAAAAGGGUGAUUUAUUUUGAUACUGUAUUUUGAUACAUGAUGGGUUAGUACUGCAAAUAAAUUUGUCAAAAGGAUGGAAGAAAGUUUAAAUAGAAAUAUGUAUUUUUUUACUUAUUAUAAAAGUAGUUUCUAUUUUGAUUCCAUUGAAAAUAUGUAGAAUAAAGGGAAUGGGAAGAUGUUGGAUAUGUAAAACACUUACCUGUAUAAAAUGGUUAACUAAGGUAUUAUCAGAUCUGAUAUGUUCAAGAAUUGAAUUUAUGCAUUGCUUCUUGAGUAAGAGAGGAUUUAGAAACUGUGCCUAUUUCACUGCCUUUAACACUACAGUGCUAUUUUAUAGGGGUAUGGAUAUUGCUAUAUUAGUUUUUACCUUUCUUAAAUUUGCAUAUCAAAUGUAUUUUAACAAAAUAGUUUAUAUACAACUUUUAUACUACCAAGCAGUAAAUAAAAAAAUAUUGAUUCUUAA